ACGUCGGUCAUCUUGAUAUCACGACUGUAAAAAUGUAUUGUUUAUCUCUGUUAGUAAAGACAGAUUUUGAGGGAGAAGUUUCUGUAACAACAUUGCAGUACGUCGGAUAUGCAGCUUACUAAGGAAUAUGUGUCUGAGAUUGGUUCUCGCUUCACAGAUUUUGCAUGCCCAUGCGAUCCCAAGGGUCAGUUGUCUCGGGGUUAGAGUAGGAAGAACAAGGUAAUCCCACGCAUCUCUGUUGACGCCAAACGAAGGGCUCUGUGUCGCCUCCUGGUGGAACAAGACAACCUGGACAUUCUGAAGAACCCAUACCUGACAAUGGAUGAAGAACAUGGCCAUACCAAAGAACGAAGUGCUGUAAAACUGGAGAGAAUAAGAGCAGCAAAAAAGAUGAAAAUGAUUCCACAUAGACAUUUAGAAGUUGAGCUCAAUCACUUAAACUGUUCCAAGAAAUGGGAAUAAAUGUAGCUCCGUGUGAAUGUGUGUGUAGUUCCGAUUGGAUGUUGCGUACUAGAAUAUGGUCAUGUCAACGGGGGAUUCUCAACCGGCAGUCGGCCAUUGACUAUGAAGUUUUUCAAAAAGUUGGGACAUAACAGUCCAGGAGUUUAGAACAGAACAAGGUGAAUUGGAAAUAGAUUCCUGGUAGUCUGCCAGGGCUGCAGACAUGGUACCUGUUGGAACUAGGGUGAUAAGAGAGGAUACAGAGUGUUGAAACCAGAAGUAGUUGCCCCAAGGAAUAGUGACAUGUAUGUAAUGUUCAUAGUUAUUAUGAAAUAAAAUAUACUGUGAUUCUUA